AGGAAAGUAUGCAAGAACUGCUAAUUCAUGCCACCGUACUUAACCAUACGGCUUUCUUA
rnacentral:tRNA from 1 species